UACGAAGGGUGCAAGCGUUACUCGGAAUUACUGGGCGUAAAGCGUGCGUAGGUGGUUUGUUAAGUCUGUUGUGAAAGCCCCGGGCUCAACCUGGGAAUGGCAAUGGAUACUGGCAAGCUAGAGUGCGGUAGAGGGUAGUGGAAUUCCCGGUGUAGCGGUGAAAUGCGUAGAGAUCGGGAGGAACACCAGUGGCGAAGGCGGGCUACCUGGACCAGCACUCGACACUGAGGCACGAAAGCGUGGGGAGCAAACAGG
rnacentral:rRNA from 1 species